rnacentral:sRNA from 2 species
AAAUAGUAUUCGUUCUGGGCGACCUGAUAGUUUCACGACAAGUACUAGCGCUUCAUCUCUAGGGAAGAAGAAUCGUACGUCUGAGCCACCUGCAAAUUACUCUAUUCGCAGUCACUCUCCGAUGGGACUUGACACGCGACACCGAAAGGAUGAUGCAAGCUGGCAUAAUGGUUCAUAUGAAACAUCCCGCCACGGGAACGGUCGACCAAAAUCGCGAUCACGAUCGCGUUCCCGACCUACGUCUCGUGAGAAGAUACAUUCCGGUUUGAGAACAGCAGCCACUGCUGCCGGUGCUGCAUCCGUCAUAUCAUCUGUAUCACAUAUAAGCCGCAGCAGAUCCUCUAAGAAAUCCCGCAGCAGUCGAUAUUCUUCAUCGAGCGGAUCCACAAUUGAUAUUUCUCGCAACAAUAGUAAACCCGGUUUGGCUGGACUCACAUCUUUCUUCAGUGCACCAUCAGAAAAAAAACCAAAGUUGUAUGCGAAGGUGGAUGGUAAGAAGGUGAAAAGAAAAAAGAAGGCAAA